rnacentral:rRNA from 1 species
UACGGGGGGGGCAAGCGUUGUUCGGAAUUACUGGGCGUAAGGGGCUCGUAGGCGGCCAACUAAGUCGGAUGUGAAAUCCCCAGGCUCAACCUGGGAACUGCAUCCGAUACUGGAUGGCUUGAAUUCGGGAGAGGGAUGCAGAAUUCCAGGUGUAGCGGUGAAAUGCGUAGAUAUCUGGAGGAAUACCGGUGGCGAAGGCGGCAUCCUGGACCGACAUUGACGCUGAGGAGCGAAAGCGUGGGGAGCGAACAGG